UGCAAGUCGAACGAAGUAGCAAUACUUAGUGGCAGAUGGGUGAGUAACAUGUAGGUAUCGUCCCUUUGGUGAGGAAUAACACGAGGAAACUUGUGCUAAUACCUCAUAACUCUUUACGGAGAAAGCUUUAUGCGCCAAUGGAUGAGCCUGCACUUGAUUAGUUUGUUGGUGGGGUAAUGGCCUACCAAGACAAUGAUCAAUAGCUGAUUUGAGAGGAUGAUCAGCCACAUUGGGACUGAGACACGGCCCAAACUCCUACGGGAGGCAGCAGUAGGGAAUCUUGCACAAUGGGGGAAACCCUGAUGCAGCGAUGCCGCGUGAGUGAAGAAGGCCUUUGGGUUGUAAAGCUCUUUCGUCGGGGAAGAAAAUGACUGUACCCGAAUAAGAAGGUCCGGCUAACUUCGUGCCAGCAGCCGCGGUAAUACGAAGGGACCUAGCGUAGUUCGGAAUUACUGGGCUUAAAGAGUUCGUAGGUGGUUAAAAAAGUUGGUGGUGAAAUCCCAGAGCUUAACUCUGGAACUGCCAUCAAAACUUUUUAGCUAGAGUAUGAUAGAGGAAAGCAGAAUUUCUAGUGUAGAGGUGAAAUUCGUAGAUAUUAGAAAGAAUACCAAUUGCGAAGGCAGCUUUCUGGAUCAUUACUGACGCUGAGGAACGAAAGCAUGGGUAGCGAAGAGGAUUAGAUACCCUCGUAGUCCAUGCCGUAAACGAUGUGUGUUAGACGUUGGAAAUUUAUUUUCAGUGUCGCAGCGAAAGCAAUAAACACACCGCCUGGGGAGUACGACCGCAAGGUUAAAACUCAAAUGAAUUGACGGGGACCCGCACAAGUAGUGGAGCAUGUGGUUUAAUUCGAAGAUACGCGCAGAACCUUACCAACACUUGACAUGUUCGUCGCGACUUUUAGA
rnacentral:rRNA from 1 species